rnacentral:lncRNA from 10 species
AGCGCUAGCUGGAAGGAGAGGAAGUUUGUGGUGCUCGCCAGCAGGGCGGUUCCCGGCCACUAGUGUACUGCAGCUGGGCAGGCACACUCCUCGCAGACCCGGCGCUCUCCAAGGAGAAAAGAAAGUUAGUGGGCUUGGGGUACGUUUCCCUUCUUUUCCUAGAAGAGGGUGGCAGGGGGGCUGGCUCAGAAAGAAACCAUCACUGACCAACACUUGGGGUACUCUGUCAAAAUGCUGCUCCUUCCAUACUGAGUCUCUUUGCUCCUCCUCUUUCCCCCAGUCAACCUGGGGUUAAGUGGGAAGGGGAGUAAGGCAACUCCAGGGGAUGCCUUCCAAACUCCGGGAGAGGGAAAGCACAGGAAUUGGGAGAAGACGUGAAGGCAGAGCUUGAACUCCUAUGUACCCGGUGACACAAGACUGCUCUGAGGGUGGCGCCCGCUGCUUCUCCCGGGCGCCCCGCCAGCCGCUCUCCCUGGCAGUGGCGCCCUUUCCUCGCCCUCUGCCCGCCCAAGAGCUGCUGGCCCAGAGCAGCCGCAUUCCCGACCCUCCAAGGCGAAGAUCCCCUGGAUUCACCCCCUCACUGGCCUUUCCGCCUAACUGACUGAAACCCGGCUCCCCAGGCACAGAUUUUCCAGCCUCCCUAAGAAAUGAAAGGUACUAUGGCAGAAAUGGCCAGGGAAGGGUUUAUCUAACCACCAGGAGUACGCAAAGAAGAGAGGUCCAGCCAGCCUGCCUCUCAGAUUGUUAAGAUGCCAGGUGUCUUUUGGCUCAUGGAAACAGCUGUUCUGCCCCCUCCCGAACCCUAGACUCACAGCUACACUCUAUGGGUGGGACCAAAAUGCAAUUGCAUAUUUCUUUAUAAGCAGGAGAUUUCACAAAGAAAAGGAGAAGGCAAGAACCACAGAGGCAAAGAUUGGAGAGAUGUGGCUGCAAGUCAGGCAGUAUCUAGCUGCCACUAGAUACUGGAAGAGUCAAGGAAUGGACUCUCCCUGGAGACUCCAGAGAAAACCUAGCCCUUCUGACUCCUUGAUUGUUGCCUUAUAAGACUCAUUUCAGACUUUAGGCUGCGUAUGAGAGAAUAAAUUUCUGUUGUUUUAAGCCACAAAGUUUGUGACCACAAUAAUAAUAUAGCACCAUUUAUAACAAAGCACUAUGUUUUUAUCUGUAUUAGUAUAGUUAUCACCGUCUUUCUUACUUUAUACCUGGUGGAUACCUAUUGAUUUUCUUUUUAGAGGGCAGGGAUCUGUCUUAUUCAUGAGUGAAUACUCUGCUGCACCUGGGAACUAAAGUGUUUGCCAUAGGAGUGCAGUAAAGUUUGUUCAAAUGGAUCUGAAGCUCAGUCUCUGUGGUGCCCAUAUUCUUGUGUGCAUACAGGGAAAGGACAAAGGGAAGGCUGCUUCCUGAAGAGAUCUCCAUAUGGAAGAGCUGCAGAUCACAAACAACCCACACAGCCAUUGUAACGCCUGCUUGCCUGGUCACUUGUGUUUCUGAGAAGCCAUAACUCCAAGAAUAGCGAAGGGAAGAAAAUGCCAAAAAGCAGGGGCUGCCUAACAGGUCUGACUUGCAAGGCAAACUCCUGGCAGGCCUGGCCAGCUUCUGCUUGUCCCAGUGCAAUCCCACCCCCAUAGGAUCUGGAAUUUUUCAGUCCCUUUGCUAAGAUUCCUGAAAUAGACUUAAUGAAGAGCCUCAGAAGUGAAAAUUCCUCUUCACACAUUUGCUCAAGAAGAUUGCUUUUCUCCUAACACAGAAAUCAGCUGCCUUGAGGAUGUGCAAGUUUGAUUAGGGAGUCUGCUCUUGCCUAUUUCUCAAACGGUUCAGGCCCUGACAGAAUCAGUGUCACCCCUAAGAAUGAAACCUUCCAAGGGGCCAUGAUCAUAUUGUGACUGGACAAGAACUAUCAUGGAUGAGGCACAUCAUCUUUUGGAACCAUCUAUGGAACAGAUAUUAUUAUUCCAUUUUGCGGAAGAGGAAUCUGAGGCUCAGGCCAGACAGAUGCAGCUAACGUUGAGUGGCAUCCUGAUGAUCACCUUCAUCACAAAAGGAAGGAGUGCUCUGAGGACUGUAGGUGGCUCUCAGAACCCUGACCUCCACGGCAGCCAUCAAGGAGUGGCAAAGGGGGUCCACAGUGGCAUAUGCAGUGAGAUCCAAGUUUUAGGCAUUCGGAGUAGAGCAAGCCACGAAUGAGAACAGGUUCUGAAAGUGACAGAAAAGGAGUCACUUUUUUGGUUCCAUAUGAACUUUAAGGUAGUUUUUUCCCAGUUCUGUGAAGAAAGUCAUUGGUAGCUUGAUGGGGAUGGCAUUGAAUCUAUAAAUUACCUUGGACAGUAUGGCCAUUUUCAUGAUAUUGAUUCUUCCUACCCAUGAGCAUGGAAUGUUCUUCCAUUUGUUUGUAUCCUCUUUUAUUUCCUUGAGCAGUGGUUUGUAGUUAUCCUUGAAGAGGUUCUUCACAUCCCUUGUAAGUUGGAUUCCUAGGUAUUUUAUUCUCUUUGAAGCAAUUGUGAAUGGGAGUUCACUCAUGAUUUGGCUCUCUGUUUGUCUGUUGUUAGUGUAUAAGAAUGCUUGUGAUUUUUGUACAUUGAUUUUGUAUCCUGAGACUUUGCUGAAGUUGCUUAUCAGCUUAAGGAGAUUUUGGGCUGAGACAAUGGGGUUUUCUAGAUAUACAAUCAUGUCAUCUGCAAACAGGGACAAUUUGACUUCCUCUUUUCCUAAUUGAAUACCCUUUAUUUCCUUGUCCUGCCUAAUUGCCCUGGCCAGAACUUCCAACACUAUGUUGAAUAGGAGUGGUGAAAGAGGACAUCCCUGUCUUGUGCCAGUUUUCACAGGGAAUGCUUCCAGUUUUUGCCCAUUCAGUAUGAUAUUGGCUGUGGGUUUGUCAUAGAUAGCUCUUAUUAUUUUGACAUACGUCCCAUCAAUACCUAAUUUAUUGAGAGUUUUUAGCAUGAAGCGUUGUUGAAUUUUGUCAAAGGCCUUUUCUGCAUCUAUUGAGAUAAUCAUGUGGUUUUUGUCUUUGGUUCUGUUUAUAUGCUGGAUUACAUUUAUUGAUUUGUGUAUAUUGAACCAGCCUUGCAUCCCAGGGAUGAAGCCCACUUGAUCAUGGUGGAUAAGCUUUUUGAUGUGCUGCUGGAUUCGGUUUGCCAGUAUUUUAUUGAGGAUUUUUGCAUCAAUGUUCAUCAGGGAUAUUGGUCGAAAAUUCUCUUUUUUGGUUGUAUCUCUGCCCGGCUUUGGUAUCAGGAUGAUGCUGGCCUCAUAAAAUGAGUUAGGGAGUAUUCCCUCUUUUUCUAUUGAUUGGAAUAUCACCAAGUCCAUCCUAAGCCAAAAGAACAAAGCUGGAGGCAUCACACUACCUGACUUCAAACUAUACUACAAGGCUACAGUAACCAAAACAGCAUGGUACUGGUACCAAAACAGAGAUAUAGAUCAAUGGAACAGAACAGAGCCCUCAGAAAUAACACCGCAUAUCUACAAUUAUCUGAUCUUUGACAAACCUGACAAAAACAAGCAAUGGGGAAAGGAUUCCCUAUUUAAUAAAUGGUGCUGGGAAAACUGGCUAGCCAUAUGUAGAAAGCUGAAACUGGAUCCCUUCCUUACACCUUAUACAAAAAUCAAUUCAAGAUGGAUUAAAGACUUAAACGUUAGACCUAAAACCAUAAAAACCCUAGAAGAAAACCUAGGCAUUACCAUUCAGGACAUAGGCAUAGGCAAGGACUUCAUGUCUAAAACACCAAAAGCAGUGGCAACAAAAGCCAAAAUUGACAAACGGGAUCUAAUUAAGCUAAAGAGCCUCUGCACAGCAAAAGAAACUACCAUCAGAGUGAACAGGCAACCUACAAAAUGGGAGAAAAUUUUCGCAACCUACUCAUCUGACAAAGGGCUAAUAUCCAGAAUCUACAAUGAACUCAAACAAAUUUACAAGAAAAAAACAAACAACCCCACCAAAAAGUGGGUGAAGGACAUGAACAGACACUUUUCAAAAGAAGACAUUUAUGCAGCCAAAAAACACAUGAAAAAAUGCUCACCAUCACUGGCCAUCAGAGAAAUGCAAAUCAAAACC